rnacentral:rRNA from 1 species
GACGAACGCUGGCGGCGUGCCUAAUACAUGCAAGUAGAACGCUGAAGGAGGAGCUUGCUUCUCUGGAUGAGUUGCGAACGGGUGAGUAACGCGUAGGUAACCUGCCUGGUAGCGGGGGAUAACUAUUGGAAACGAUAGCUAAUACCGCAUAAGAGUAGAUGUUGCAUGACAUUUGCUUAAAAGGUGCAAUUGCAUCACUACCAGAUGGACCUGCGUUGUAUUAGCUAGUUGGUGGGGUAACGGCUCACCAAGGCGACGAUACAUAGCCGACCUGAGAGGGGGAGAGGCCACGCUGGGACGGGGACACGGCCCAGACUCCUACGGGAGGCAGCAGUAGGGAAUCUUCGGCAAUGGACGGAAGUCUGACCGAGCAACGCCGCGUGAGUGAAGAAGGCUUUCGGAUCGUAAAGCUCUGUUGUAAGAGAAGAACGAGUGUGAGAGUUGAAAGUUCACACUGUGACGGUAUCUUAACAGAAAGGGACGGCUAACUACGUG